CCUACGGGUGGCUGCAGUGAGGAAUAUUCGUCAAUGGGCGCGAGCCUGAACCAGCCAACUAGCGUGAAGGAUGACUGCCCUACGGGUUGUAAACUUCUUUUGUAAGGGGAUAAAGUGAGGCACGAGUGCCUUUUUGUUUGUACUUUAUGAAUAAGGAUCGGCUAACUCCGUGCCAGCAGCCGCGGUAAUACGGAGGAUCCGAGCGUUAUCCGGAUUUAUUGGGUUUAGAGGGAGCGUAGAUGGGUUGUUAAGUCAGUUGUGAAAGUUCUGGGCUCAACCGUAAAAGUGCAGUUGAUACUGGCAGCCUUGAGUACGGUUGAGGUAGGCGGAAUUCGUGGUGUAGCGGUGAAAUGCUUAGAUAUCACGAAGAACACCGAUUGCGAAGGCAGCCUACUAAACUGACACUGACAUUGAGGCUCGAAAGUGUGGGUAUCAAACAGGAGUAGAUACCCGGGUAGUC
rnacentral:rRNA from 1 species